AGAUUAAAUUUCGUGACUGUUUCACAAACUGCUGUGAGUUGGGGUUGACUGUAACUACAUUUACUUUGUGGGUUUACGGAUUAAAUUAGAAAAAGCCCUGCAUCCACAACUGGAACAUUUACUGUUUGGAAGUUGGUCUAACACCAGUUCUAGAUGCUACUAUGUCAGAGUUUAGGGUAAUAUACUGGUGGAUUUGGGGAGGUUUAACUGUGACAUAAACUCAUCAGUGAGUCCUCAUUCACAAAGCCUUUUCUCCUAAAAGUGAAACACAUAAAAGUGAAACACAUUGUACGAAAAUACUACCAUUAAAGCAUAAAGCUAACCUCCGUGUUUCCUGUCCAAGUUGCAGGAUAGAAUGAUGCUACUUAUUUGUUUCCAUGUCUUCUACAUAGAUCAUCAACUGGUGAGGAUGCAAACUUUUACCUGAGACCUGUUUUUAGACUGUUUUAGUCUAUUUUGCAUCAUCACUCAGUCCUGAAUUAUGUUUGUUUCAAAUACAUAUCUAAGACCCUUUUGCAGAGUUCUAAUGAUCAUACAAAUCAGCUUAAGACAUUUAAAAGCCAUAAGGAACUGGAUUUUUAACCAAAUCACAGAGAUACUGUUAAUUCACAGGAUUAACAUUGAUUGGCUAGCUAGCUACAGUUUAGUAAAUCUGCCAACACAGUUGUCAUUUCAGCCAGCAAAAUCAGCAGUUGCCAAUACGAAAUUAAAAGCUUAAUUACAAGGACCCAUGGAUUCAAAAGCCGUCAAAUUUCACGUGGUAGAUCUGCCACCGUUACAACUGCAAACUGCAUACAUGCUGUGCUACAUUAGAAAGCAACGUGCGUAGCAAUAGUAACUGAGGGGUGGAAGUUUAGCGUGGUAUGUGUUUUUCAAGCUUUAAAUGAAGCAUUUGUAACUUGGACCGCCUCAGAAAGGCAAGCAUGAGAGAGCAGAAAGUCUGUGGUCCCUCUGACUCUGUGUGUGUGUGUGUGUGUGUGUCUGUGUCUGUGUCUGUGUCUGUGUGCAGGCGGCUGGGGUUGGAGGGGGGUUGCUUAUGCAUUAACACAGACAUAAACAGAUCAGCAUGUCUACAGUGUACUGCUUCACUCUGAGUCCCACCUCCUUGUGUCACGCCCACGGGCGGCAUCAGAAGAACAGGCGCUGGAAGUGAGCAGUCCUCCUUCAUUCACAACCCACCCCCCCAAAAAAAACCAACAGAAAACGCACUUAUCUAUGCUGGGGCCACCUGCCACUGCAGGCCUGUCCUUUGUGUAGAUGUCUGUAUAAGCCUGGGAUUCUGUUACCCUGCUCCCCAGGGAGAGCAGACGCUGCUGUAGCCCAGCUACUGGUAGACUGGAUGCUUGGACAGGAUGACAUACAGGCUUGUCAGUGACAGGUGGAAGUACAUCUCUUAUUAUCUGAGCAGAUAUAGACAGCACAUGUCCAGCAACACUUCUGGAGGUAGCUUCUGUUCCACUACCUUUCAUUGCUUAAUGAAAAUUUCACACUUUAUUUUACAGUACACUGAUAAGACGUACUUUAUAUCUAUUAAGACAAAAACUAGAAAUAAUAUGUUCUUUAUUAGACUGUAAACAAACACAGUUAUACCCUAAUUAGACACCAUACACCUAAAUUAUGCUGUAAUUAGAAACUGCAUAUAAUGCCAUAUUAGACCCACAAUAGACACUGGUAUACCAAAUUAUGCUCUAAUUAGAAUUAUAAGCUAUUAGAAUCCCAUUUUACAAGAUCAUAGUCUAAUUAGAAAUCAAAUACAAUGCCAUAUCAGAUCCAAAAUAUCCCAGCAAACAUUGUUCCCACAGCGACAUUGUGUCACUGGCCAAAAUUGGCUCCAGAUGCCAAAAACAGCAACAUGCACCUGAAAUGCAAAUUAUGAAUCUCAAGUCACGUGUGCACAUAUUUGGAAUACAGAUAUGCAGGUGUAAGUGUCAGUUUCUCCUAAUGAAUAUCAGGUCUAAUCCAAUUUUUGUUUAAAAACUGUUGUAAGCAGACGGUCACAGGGUGUCAUCCUUGCCACGUUCAAUAAAGGUCCACCUGGACCUGACUUCAAAAACACUUCAAAUACUUCUCAAAGUUUCACUGUGCAGCACAUCUAUGGGUGUUUUGUUUUCGUAUUUUUCAUACAAAAGCUUUUUUAUUCAUUAAUUGGUUGAGAGCAGAUUAUCAUAGAGGGACGUCCUCUCCACAUAGAAUCAACAUCGUUGGGCGUUAUAUGUUUUAAACAGUUCAGCAGUGAUGUGAGCUUCGUCUGGGUUAAUAAAAGUUACGAAGGGUUUACUAUUGAGACACAUAUCUUCAUCAUGGAUGUAUUAUCUUCAUGCUUGUGGGCGAGACACGCUCCCGUCUCACGAGAAUACAUGUAGUUCACUACAAGAGUUGAGAGCAGAGAAUGUACAUGCUGCUCGCAACAGGACCAAGAAGACAGAAAUGGUGCAGAAAUAACUGUCAGAGUUACAACGAGGAUUAACAGCAGCUGCAGCUGUUUACAUCCUGGAGUUAGCAUUAGCAUUAGCCUGCACCACCUUGAUGGAAACUGGAGAAAAGUGCAUUAGACUGAAUUAAAAGAAUUAAGAAUUCAAAUUGUUAUAUUAUCUACAGAAAGGUGUACUUUUGAUGAUCAUCUUUCAUCAGUGUUGUUUAUCCAAAUGAAAUACUGUUGCACGUUAAUAUUGACUCAGUGUGUUUCUGUAAAAAUGAAUGCAUAUGUCUUAACUAAGAUACUUAAUGUGUUUGCUGAGUGUUUGGUUAUAUAUCAUUUAUUAUAAGGAUUUUCUUGAAAGUGACAUUAAGAUGUAUAACAGACGUCUGGGUCAGACAGGACGUUGGUUGGACCAUUUUAGAACAUAAAGCAUAUUAAGUUGUUAAUCUGGACAUAUAGAAUGUAUAAAGCUGCAGAAUGCAUAAUAAUACAUACAUUUUAGCAGAACAACUGAAUGGAAACAUUGAUGAUGGUAAUGACAUAUUUUGACAUUGCUGGUAGACACAGGAAGGACAUCCAGCAUGGGACCAGCCGAAGAAGGUGUAGGUAUGUCUCAAGUAGCAGAUAUGUGAUUUCAAUUUAGUUUACAGUACAGUUCUGUUGUAAUGUGUUGCAAAUUACCCUCUAAGAAAGUCUAAUAAUGGUCUAACAGUGGAAAUAAAGAUGCAAUGUCCUGGCAGCUUCCAUAGCCUAAUGUUACUGGGUGUCAAGGAAGCAUGUAUUAGGCUAUGUAUUACUACCUACAAACUCCAUGGAACUCCAGAAAACAUCCAGGCUACGAGGGAUGUGUGAAGUAGUGACCAGAUGUGACCCGAUGUGGUUUGACUUAAGUUUACAGUACAGUUUUCUUCUAAUGAGCAACAAAUGGCCCUAUAAGAGAGUGAAACUAUGUUAAAUAAAGGCCAAAUAAAUGCAUUGUCCUCUGAGCUCUCAGUGUUUUGUCUGACUAUUAAAAAGGUUAUGCCCAAUAAAUUUGUGUAAUUACA